rnacentral:sRNA from 1 species
UGUAAAUCUUAAAUCAUUCCAAAUUUAAUAUUCCAUCCAAAAUAUAAGAGCCCCCCGUUUCCGGGGGGCUCU